GCCAGGCGGUGGAGGCCCACCUGUAGUCUUAGCUACUCAGGAGACUGAGGCAGUGGGAUCCCUUAUGCCCAGGAGUUCUGGGCUAUAGUGUGCUAUGCCCAUCAGGUGUCUGCACUAAAUUCAGCAUCAAUAUGGUGACCUCCCAGGAGCAGGGGACCACCAGGUUACCUAAAGAGGAGUGAACCAAUCUAGGUCAGAAACAGAGCAGGUCAAAACUUCCAUGCUGAUCAGUAGUGAGAUCACACCCGUGAAUGACCAGUGUUAAAGUGCUCUAUAGUCUGGGCAACAUAGUGAGACAACCCCCUAU
ensembl:misc_RNA Metazoa_SRP Metazoan signal recognition particle RNA